rnacentral:tRNA from 1 species
GGCACCGUGGGGUGCCGGGGCGGUUCCGCUGGAGCUCAGGCCCCCGGAGGGGCGUCGAAGGGUGCGCUCCAGGUCUGGUUCGGCUGGUUGGUGCCGC